GUUCGGCGCUCGAUCGCGCUGUGUGAGACAGGAAAACAUAGCAUGCAGACAUUAGCGACAGGUCUUACAGGCGGAAAAGGCUUGCCAAAAGAAAAAAAAAAACACACCACAACAUCUCUCCUAUUGGUGGAAAACUUCACCACAACAACCAAUCCAAAAUUAUAUGGUGACUGAUUGACAAGGGGCGGGAGCUUACGUUCUUCCUGCAACAUGAGAAGGGAGGGAGGGACUCUCAGCAGGGAUGCAGUCUGGGACACGUAGUUGCAAACCUAGCGACUUUGUUGUUAGAUUCAAUGACUUUUCAGACCCCCUAACGACUUUUUUUUAGAAAGAAAGGGACUUUUAUCUACUUCUUCUGGAGUUUAGAGACUCUGACAUGAAGCAGGCUUUCCUUACUGAGGAGUUAGCAACGCUGCUAAGGGUGCAGAGCCACACAUGCGCUCAGAGCUCUGCAUGGGAGACUGAAGCUGACAGAGCUGCAGCAGUUAGCAGGUUUCACCCUCAGAGACCACCAGGGGUUCAUGUUGAGGCAUUUUAAUUUUUUUUUUGUGCCAUAGACACUGUCAGCACAAUCUGCAGUUACACUAACAAAAAUGCUGCAAAAAACAAAGAAUUGUGGAAAAAUUACACAUGGACUGACAUAGAGGAGGAUCUACACAAGUAUUUUACAUCAUGUUUUACAUCAUGCAUCAUUUACAUCAUGUUUUUUUGUAGUGGCAUAAAUAAAAAGUGACAUUUGUGAGACUAUACAGUGUUUUGUAAAUAAUUUUACAAAGAACGCCUGGGCCAUUGCCUGCAUUUUGAUGUAAAUAGAGGUAAAUCACUAUGUUCUUUGUUAAAAAUUUGCAUAUGUUUUGAAGUUUACAAUUUUUAUUCGAAGUUUAAGUUUUAAAAACAGUUCAUCACACAUAUUUGUGGUUUUCACAGUAAAAAUGUUACUUUUUUCCACUCAGAUUUUAUGUUUUGUGUGUGAAUUUGGGUCCAUUGUGUAAAUUCAGUAUGUCAACAUGAUAAAAUAACUGUAAAUUCGCACAGGUGAGGUUGUGCUGAAAAAAAUGAUACCAGGCAAGGCACGUGAUUGUCAAAUUUUGUGUCAAUAUGACAAAGCGUAUAGGCGUGAAUCUCAACAAUAUGUAUUUUCACCUUAAGGGACAAGAAAAAAUGGACUUUUUUCUCCUGCCAUGGGGGGGGCGCUCUUUUGGGUAGUAAAAAUUCCUUCACAAAUGUGUUGAUGGCUGGACAUUGCAUCAUCCUAGAAAACUUGGAGGCCAGUGAGGACAAAAAUAAAAAGUUAUAAGACUUUUAAAUAUGUGGAUUUUAGGGUUAUAUUUGGCGCCCCCUAGAACCUAAACCGUGGGGUGCAGCGUCAUGAUUUUGAUAACUUUUAAUGGCCAUGGGGUGUAGAUUGGCCUGAGCAAAUGUGGUGCCGGUGGAAAGAAAGCCUUAGGAGGAGUUAGCGAAAUUCCAAUGUGUGCGGAUCGGCAAAAAAUGCGGAAUAACCCUUUAACCGUACAUUUGACAGAUACGCGCGCAUUGACUUUUUCGUAGAUCUUAUUGAGUUACAUGUGUGUGUCAAUUUUUGUGUCAUUUUGACAAAGCGUAUAGGCGUGACACUCAACAAUGUGUAUUUUCACCUUAGGGGACAAGAAAAAAUUGACUUUUUUCUCCUGCCAUGGGGGGGCGCUCUUUUGGGGAGUAAAAAUUCCUUCACAAAUGUGUUGAUGGCUGGACAUUGCAUCAUCCUAGAAAACUUGGAGGCCAGUGAGGACAAAAAUAAAAAGUUAUAAGACUUUUAAAUAUGUGGAUUUUAGUGUUAUCUUUGGCGCCCCCUAGAACCUAAACCUUGGGGUGCAGCGUCAUGAUUUUGAUAACUUUUAAUGGCCACGGGGUGUAGAUUGGCCUGAGCAAAUGUGGUGCCGGUGGAACGAAAGCCUUCGGAGGAGUUAGCGAAAUUCCAAUGUGUGCGGAUCGGCAAAAAAUGCGAAAUAACCCUUUAACCGUAAUUUUGACAGAUACGGCCGCACUGACUUUUUUGUAGAUCUUAUUGAGAUACAUAUGUGUGUCAAUUUUUGUGUCAAUAUGACAAAGCGUACAGGCGUGACAGUCAAUAGUGUGAAUUUCCACCUUAGGGGGCGCUAUGGAGCCAUUUUGCAUUUUAUUGUUUGGGCGACUUCAGAAUAUCGAAUUUUUCACCAGGCCCGGUCGUCCUGCCAAAUUUCAUGAGUUUUCGCCAGUGGGAAGUGGGCCAUUUUCCAGUUCAAAGGGGAGGAAAAAGAAGAAAGAAAGAAAGAACUAGGACCCCGUUGGGGCACUGGCGGGCCCGAGCUGUGUCGCGUCCCCCCCCCAACGCGCUGCCUCCCCGUCCCAUUUGUGUCCUCUGGCCAUCGCCCUCUCUGGUAACGCCCAUCACUGCAAAGACCCUUUUCCUUCAUCGGCGUUUGCUGUUCUUCCUGCCAGUGCAUGUUGCUUUCACUUACACUUGCCACAGCCAGCCUCGUGAGUGCCUAGCCUAUUGGAUAUCACUGUCACCUACACAGGACAGUCAUUACCUUUCUAUUAAUACUUUGUUUUUUAAUUUCACAUUAAUUUCCAUAUUGUAUAAACAACUGGAAAAAACUUGAGCCCCUGCCCCUGUAUAAUCAUGUGCACGUCUCUGUUCUAGCUCUAAGGUGAAUCUUCACUGCUCAUGUUCUCCUCAGAAGCAGUCACCUCACUCCCCUCAGGUUACUGUACACAUGCACCAACUGCCUGCUUCAGGUUUGGAUGGAGCUUCAUGGUUGUCUUUUGGAGAAAUGACUAGUCAAGUUGUGUUUGAAAUAUGAUUUUUUUCAGGGGCAAAAGGAGCCUCUGCAUUCUUGUCAAAUAUGUAAAUAGCAUGUUUUUGCAGGUGCUAAAAACCAGACUCUGAGUGUGUGUGUGUGCGUGUGUGUGUGUGUGUGUGUGUGUGUGUGUGUGUGUGUGUGUGUGUGUGUGUGUGUGUGUGUGCGUUCAAGUCACAUGACAUAUUUAACCGGAUGUAGCUGCAAGACGGAGCCUCGUUGACUCUCCGUUUCAAUUUAUCUCAAAAGUGAGGACCUCAACCUAUAUACCAGUUUUUAAAUUGUGUUGAUAGGCCAAAUAAAACCAGAGUUAUGAUAAAUUAUGUCCACGAUACUUGUUUUCUGCUUAUUUUGAUCACGUUCGGCGCUCGAUCGCGCUGUAUGAGACAGGAAAACAUAGCAUGCAGACAUUAGCGACAGGUCUUACAGGCGGAAAAGGCUUGCCAAAGGAAAAAAAAAACACACCACAACAUCUCUCCUAUUGGUGGAAAACUUCACCACAACAACCAAUCCAAAAUUAUAUGGUGACUGAUUGACAAGGGGCGGGAACUUACGUUCUUCCUGCAAUAUGAG
rnacentral:lncRNA from 1 species